rnacentral:tRNA from 1 species
GGUCUUGUAGCUCAACUGGAUAGAGCAAUAGCCUUCUAAGCUAUAGGUUCCGCGUUCGAGCCGCGGCAGGAUCA